rnacentral:lncRNA from 1 species
CAAGUACGUAUUGAAUCUAGAUCUACUUUCUUAAUACAUCAAUGUUCGUUCAUGAGUUCAGAUCUGAUAUUCUUCAUUAGCUUAUGCUUGGUUUUGGAGAUUAGUUAACCAUUUACUUUUCCAACGUUGGCAAUGGAUGUUCAUUUGAGAUCCAGUUCGUUAAUCGUAAUUGCCGGAUUUGAUUUAGUAUGAUUGCAUUCCUUGAAUUAGAUCUUCCCUUAGUUCACUAAUGAUUGACAUUUCAUUCUCUUUCAUCUGUUUGUAUCGAUGUAGUUAAUGUGGCAAUGGAUUGAUAGAUUUUGUUUAUAAGAAAUCCUACCGAAUUUAGAUAAAGAAAUGUUUUUCAAAUUCAAAAAUAGAUUGUAUAGAUUCACUUCAUUAAGUGAUGAAUCUGAACCAUUCAUUAACUUGAUGAAUCUGAACCAUUCAUUAACUUUUCUUGAUCCAAAUUCGGGGACCUAGAACUGUUCUUUUUUUAUUUUAGAUCCAGUUCUUUGGUCAUAGAUUGAAUUCAUUAAAUUAGAUCUUCUAUUAAUGGUUGGCAUUUCUUUCUCUUUGAUCUGAGUCUUUGUUUAUUUAAUGUGGUUGUGUUAAUAUCCUUUCUUUUUCUUUAGCAAUAUGGUUAUGACGAUUGUAGUUGUAGCUAUAUGUGCCCAUAUAUUCAAUGUAGUGAUGCCAAAACUGACAUUCAUUUUGUGUCCGUAAGCUUAUUGUAUUGUGGUUUCGUUUCAUUGAUGAUUGCUGAAACAAUGUAAAUAAUGGAACGAAAUAAUUUGCAUCAAGUAAUAUUUAUUUAAUUUAGAAUCAUUUUGGUUCUCAAUGGUGCUGGGGAGAAAGAAAAAUGCAGGAUAAGAGAAAAAGAGCACUGGAUAAAUAGUUUAAAAUUUUUCAAUAUGUUUCAGGAAAAUCAAGAGUCUAGUUUUAGCCAAUCUUUUGUUUUUUUGAUAACUCGUAAUCCGGCCCAAGGACAAACUAAUUAUGGGACCAAUCUCAUUGUCUACUAGCGAGGGGCCGAUUAAUUGACUGACCCAACUCAGGAAUUGAUAGCACCUAGGAGAUUUUGAACAUGAGACCUUGUAAGGAAACAGACCUCCAAGUCCAAGCCUUCCCUAGCCUAGACCACUAGGCCACCCCCUCGGCGUUCUAGUUUUAGCGAAUCUGAUGUUGCAUG